CCCCCCCCCCCCAAGGCUCAAGACACGGAAGAUCCCAUAUCCCACCCGAAAUCCCUUCACGUGGCUCUUCCUGCUCGUGGUCCUGUCCCAACUACACCUAUGAGGUCGGUUCCUGGAUCGGGUUUACCAUCAUGACGCAGUGUCUGCCUGUGGCCCUGUUCUCGCUGGUGGGCUUCGUGCAGAUGGCGAUAUGGGCGCAGGGGAAGCACCGCAGCUACCUGCGGGAGUUCCGCGAUUACCCACCGCUGCGCUCCCCCAUCGUCCCCUUCCUGCUGUGAGGGGACACCGCCACCACCCCCCAGCCCAGGGGACAGCGGGGGGGGACGGCGGGGUGACGGGGGGCACCCGAGAGACAAUGGAUGUCUGGGUGAUGGGGGGCACCCGAGCGACAAAGGACACCCGAGCGACGGGGGACAUUUGGGUGACAGGGGACGUCUGGGUGACAGGGGGCACUUGGGUGACAAAGGACACCUGGGUGACAAAGGACAUCUGGGUGACGGAGAGCACGUGGCUGACAAGCAACAGUUGGGUGACAAAAGGCAUCCGGGUGACAAAAGGCCCCUGGGUGACAGAGGGCCUUGGUGACAAAGGGCGCUUAGGUGACAAUGGGCCUUGGGUGACAAAGGACAUCUGGGUGGCACCUUGGGGACAGCAGACCCCCCCCGCCUGGUGCUGGAUGCAGUCAUGGCGCCCCCAUCCCACGCUGUCACCGCUUGUCACACGGGGCCGGGUGUGACCCCAUGUCACCAUUCCACGGGCUCAGGGAUGAUCGGUGUCACCACAAGGGACGCGUGACCGUUCCGUGGGGUCACGUGUGGCACCUGUCACUCACGUGUGGCACCUGUCACUCACGU